rnacentral:tRNA from 1 species
CGGGGCGUGGCUCAGCCCGGUAGAGUGCACGGUUCGGGUCCGUGAGGUCGAGAGUUCAAAUCUCUCCGCCCCGACAA